AGGACGAACGCUGGCGGCGUGCUUAACACAUGCAAGUCGAGCGGAAAGGCCCUUCGGGGUACUCGAGCGGCGAACGGGUGAGUAACACGUGAGCAACCUGCCCCAUGCUUUGGGAUAACCCUCGGAAACGGGGGCUAAUACCGAAUAUUCACGACGGAUCGCAUGGUUUGUUGUGGAAAGUUUUUCGGCGUGGGGAUGGGCUCGCGGCCUAUCAGCUUGUUGGUGGGGUAAUGGCCUACCAAGGCGACGACGGGUA
rnacentral:rRNA from 1 species